GACGAACGCUGGCGGCGUGCCUAAUACAUGCCAGUUGAGCGCUGAAGGUUGGUACUUGUACCAACUGGAUGAGCAGCGAACGGGUGAGUAACGCGUGGGGAAUCUGCCUUUGAGCGGGGGACAACAUUUGGAAACGAAUGCUAAUACCGCAUAAAAACUUUAAACACAAGUUUUAAGUUUGAAAGAUGCAAUUGCAUCACUCAAAGAUGAUCCCGCGUUGUAUUAGCUAGUUGGUGAGGUAGAGGCUCACCAAGGCGAUGAUACAUAGCCGACCUGAGAGGGUGAUCGGCCGCAUUGGGACUGAGACACGGCCCAAACUCCUACGGGAGGCAGCAGUAGGGAAUCUUCGGCAAUGGACGAAAGUCUGACCGAGCAACGCCGCGUGAGUGAAGAAGGUUUUCGGAUCGUAAAACUCUGUUGGUAGAGAAGAACGUUGGUGAGAGUGGAAAGCUCAUCAAGUGACGGUAACUACACAGAAAGGGACGGCUAACUACGUG
rnacentral:rRNA from 1 species